CAGUAGCCGCGGUAAUACGGAGGGCGCGAGCGUUACCCGGAUUUACUGGGCGUAAAGGGCGUGUAGGCGGCCUGGGGCGUCCCAUGUGAAAGGCCACGGCUCAACCGUGGAGGAGCGUGGGAUACGCUCAGGCUAGAGGGUGGGAGAGGGUGGUGGAAUUCCCGGAGUAGCGGUAAAAUGCGUAGAUCUCGAGAGGAACACCAAUGGCGAAGGCAGCUUCUUGGUCCAUUCCUGACGUUCAUACACGAAAGCGUGGGGAGCAAACAGGAUUAGAUACCCCUGUAGUCCCUGUCUCUUAUAC
rnacentral:rRNA from 1 species